AAUGAAGUGUCUGAUUAUAGAGUUAUUUUGAUAGAGUAAAGCAAGUGGAAGCUCCACCUUCAUUA
rnacentral:tRNA from 1 species